rnacentral:rRNA from 1 species
UACGAAGGGUGCGAGCGUUGUUCGGAUUUAUUGGGCGUAAAGCGGGUGCAGGCGGAUACGUAAGUCAGAUGUGAAAUCUCGGGGCUCAACCCCGAAACUGCGUCUGAAACUACUUAUCUAGAAUCUCGUAGAGGGAGGCGGAAUUUCACAUGUAGGAGUAAAAUCCGUAGAGAUGUGAAGGAACACCAGAGGCGAAGGCGGCCUCCUGGGCGAGAAUUGACGCUGUAGCCGAAAGCGUGGGGAGCAAACAGG